GAAGCUGGAAUUGCUAGUAAUGGCAGGUCAGCAUACUGCCGUGAAUACGUUCCCGGGCCCUUGUACACACCGCCCGUCACACCAUGAGAGUUGGAAAUACCCGAAGCCUGUGAGCUAACUUAAAGAGGCAGCAGUCGAAGGUAGAGCCAAUGAUUGGGGUGAAGUCGUAACAAGGUAAC
rnacentral:rRNA from 1 species